rnacentral:rRNA from 1 species
AAUAGAUACCCUGGUAGUCCACCCCGUAAACGUUGGGAACUAGUUGUGGGGUCCUUUCCACGGAUUCCGUGACGCAGCUAACGCAUUAAGUUCCCCGCCUGGGGAGUACGGCCGCAAGGCUAAAACUCAAAGGAAUUGACGGGGACCCGCACAAGCGGCGGAGCAUGCGGAUUAAUUCGAUGCAACGCGAAGAACCUUACCAAGGCUUGACAUACACCAGAACACCCUGGAAACAGGGGACUCUUUGGACACUGGUGAACAGGUGGUGCAUGGUUGUCGUCAGCUCGUGUCGUGGGAUGUUGGGUUAAGUCCCGCAACGAGCGCAACCCUCGUUCUAUGUUGCCAGCACGUUAUGGUGGGAACUCAUGGGAUACUGCCGGGGUCAACUCGGAGGAAGGUGGGGAUGACGUCAAAUCAUCAUGCCCCUUAUGUCUUGGGCUUCACGCAUGCUACAAUGGCCGGUACAAUGGGCUGCGAUACCGUAAGGUGGAGCGAAUCCCAAAAAGCCGGUCCCAGUUCGGAUUGAGGUCUGCAACUCGACCUCA